AUGCUCCUUCGGCAGCACAUAUACUGAAAUUGGAAUGAUACAGAGAAGAUCAGCGUGGCCCUUGUGCAAGGAUUACAUGCAAAUUCAUGAAGUGUUCCAUAUUUUU
ensembl:snRNA U6 U6 spliceosomal RNA